GAUGAACGCUAGCGAUAGGCUUAACACAUGCAAGUCGAGGGGCAGCACAAGGUAGCUUGCUAUCUGGGUGGCGACCGGCGCACGGGCGCGUAACGCGUAUGCAACUUGCCCUAUACAGGAGGAUAACCCGUCGAAAGACGGACUAAUACUGCGUAUGCUCACAACUUGGCAUCAAGUGGUGAGGAAAGAAAUUCGGUAUAGGAUAGGCAUGCGUCCCAUUAGCUUGUUGGUGAGGUAACGGCUCACCAAGGCAACGAUGGGUAGGGGAACUGAGAGGUUUAUCCCCCACACUGGUACUGAGACACGGACCAGACUCCUACGGGAGGCAGCAGUGAGGAAUAUUGGUCAAGGGGCGCGAGCCUGAACCAGCCAAGUCGCGUGAAGGAUGACUGUCUUAUGGAUUGUAAACUUCUUUUAUACGGGAAUAACAAGAGUCACGUGUGACUCCCUGCAUGUACCGUAUGAAUAAGCAUCGGCUAACUCCGUG
rnacentral:rRNA from 1 species